AUGCUCAUCCAGUUCCAACCCCCUGCUGUGUGCAGGUCACCAACCAGCAGCCCAGGCUGCCCAGAGCCACAUCCAGCCUGGCCUUGAAUGCUUGCAGGGAUGGGGCAUCCACAGCCUCCUUGGACAACCUGUGCCAGUGCCUCACCACCCUCUGGGGGAAAAACUUCCUCCUAAGAUCUAAGCUGAACGUCCCCCCUGUCUCAGUUUAUAACCAUUCCCCUUGUCCUAUCACCAUCCACCCUCAUAAACAGCCGUUCCCCCUCCUGUUUAUACGCUUCCUUCAAGUACUGGAAGGCCACAAUGAGGUCUCCAUGGAGCCUUCUCCUCUCCAAGCUGAACAAGCCCAGUUAAUAUCCAUACAUGUCCCUGCCCUAGUCUGUAGGAUCUGUUGGCCACCUCAUUCCUUUCAUAUGGAGUCACAGAAUCAUGAUGGUCAGAAAAACCCUCCAAAAUCACCAAGUCCAAACACGGGCCCAUCACCACGUCCCGUGCCAUUGAUAUCCACUACCUGAAACCCAUAGGUUCUGAAGGUUCAGCCACCCCAUUCCUUUCCUAUAAAAUCCCAGAAUCAUGAAGUUAGGAGAACACCUCAAAAAUCACCAAGUCCAACUCCAUCUCCACCAUGUCCACAAGUGCCACAUCUCCACAUUUCUUGACUACCUCCAGGGAUAGUGACUCCAUCACCUCUCUAUUCCAAUGCCUUACCAUGGAAGAAAGGGAGGAAUCCACCAAAUGCACAGGGCCACCAACCUCAUCCUGUCCAAUGAGGGAGGCAGUGCUGGGAAUCCAGCCUGCACAGUCACCAACGGACAGGGCAUGGGAGAGGGAGAGGAGCAGGAAGGGAUUGGCUGUGUGUGAAAUGGGACCAGAAGCCGCUACUUGUUCUGUCUUGUAUGUUUUUUUAAUCUGGGCCAGUCGCUGUAGUCUGCCCUAUCUUGUAUUUUCUUAUUAAAAUCUUUUCUAAAUCA